GCUCGUUUCCGCGUGAAGUUAGCGCAUUUCCCUCCAAAACUGUAGGUGCCUGUAUAAAUGCCUGAGAGACUUUUCACUCUGGUCCGAACUGCUCUUCUCUGAGGACGCGAAUAUGAACGAGAGCAGCCAGGAGCUGAAAGUGUGGGCAGAUGAACAGGCUGCUGAGGACGAGUUGGACAACGGUUUCCUAAACUGAAUCCUGAUUUCCUGUGAUCGAGUUUUGUGGACUGACAGUUUGCAUGGUUGGUGCUCGGCCCAGGACAGGAAAGACACCUGGUCCAAUAAGGUGAUGGAUGGUUGACAGGACAAAUCACCAAGAUGAACAAGACGAGCCAAACAAUGGAGAGGGGCCACCACAGGAGCCUGAAGGGAAAGUAACGAGAGCAGCCAGGAGCAGAAAGCGUGGGCAGAGGAACAGGCUGCUGAGGACGAGUUGUAUGCCGGCUUCCUAAACUGAAUCCUGAUUUCCUGCAAUCGAGUUUUGUGGACUGACAGUUUGUAUGUUUACAAAUUAGAAGCCAAGAUGUUGAAUAGUUGUCAUCAAAUCCUAUUUUGAUGGCAGGAUAUGGCUGUGUUCAGUCAGUGAAUGCUAGAGGGACAGCGUACCAUCAUGCCUCUGUGUUUUCACCCUGUUGAUACACAACUCGAACAGAAGACAAAACAAUAAACCUGCACUUUGUUUUCAGUCUCCACGCUGGUUGUAAACAUCAACAUAUAGCUGAAAUGAAAUUCAAGCAAAUGGAUCAAUAUAUUAUAAUGUUUUGAGGAAUAUAAGACAUUAACAUCCUGUCAUACUGUUCAGUGAGGAACUGGUUGCCUGCAAUAUUCUGCAAUAUUGUGCAGACUGCCUUCAUAUCUCCACAUCUGUACUCUGCUGUCCCUGCCCUCUCGAAGGUUGGUCAACACACACACACAGUGUGAGUUACAAAUACACAUUUCGUUAUGGACCCGCCCGUUGAAACUUUGCUCAUGGUCGGACCUCCGAAAUUAUGACCUCAGUAUUUCUAAAAUCCUGGUUAGGGCCCUGCACUUAAGUCUUAACUCCUCAACAAUAGAUGCAAAGCAAUGUGUACACCGGUGUGUUGAUAAUAAGGAUACGUGUCCUGCAAGACACAUUUAUGCACAUCUUUUCUUUUGCUUGUUACUCUGUUGACGUCCUGAAUCUAUUUGCUUGGCAUUCAGUGACCUCUAGUGGCAAUUUCAGGCCUAACACAUGAGCUGUGAGCAAAAGUGAUGGAUUGCUGUCCAGGUUUUGGUAUUUGGUAUGUACUCAAAAACCCCAAGAGCAUAAUUAUCUCAGCCGCAUGCUCACAUUACACCAGUAGAUGUUGUUGUUGUUGUUGUCUCUAAUAGCUCUUUUAACAGUUAUUCAACUAAUUUCUGUUUUUAUGGAGUUUAAAUUCUGUUUAUGGCUGCAACUAAUUAAUCAACUAACUGCUUGAUUCGUCAUGGAGUCUAUUAAAUAGAGAAAACUGGCAAGCACACCUUACUGCAUCAGUCCAAACAGCUCAAAGCUCAAGAAUAAUUAGUAUUCAGAAGCAGCAAACAAAAGUAACACAUUUUCUUACAUUUGACAAGCCAAAACUAACUAGCUAAUAGUUGAUGACUGUAUUUUUGUAUAUUUUUAAAAAAGAAACAACAAGAAAAAACAUCAUGAUCCAAAACUUUCUCUCAACAUUUUUUCAUUCUUUUCCAGGGUUGUUUUUUAUUUGUAUUGAAAAAGAGGGAAAGUUAAACAAAACGUUUUAAAGAUGGAAAAGAAGCGAUAAUCAAAAGGUUGCAAAAAAAUGAAUAAUAAUCUUUAUGUAGGUCACUGAAUGCUCUGAAGUGCUUUAUACUAAUAAAACCCUGCAGAUGGUGGAUGUAUUUGAAGGUGACCUCAACAUUUGUGGCCACACAGAUACACAACUAGGCUUACAUAAAUCCAAGUUACUAUAUAUGUGUGUGUGUGUGUUAAAGAUAAUAGAAGAUGCUGAUAGUUGAAGGACAGCCUCAUCAGCCACAGGGUCCCAGAGAGGGGGAUAAGGGAGAAGAGGAGGCCGGGAUGGGCCAGAGGAGAGCGGAUGAGACAAAAGGAGAUGAGAGAGGUGGAACCCAGGUCUAUGCCCAGGAAUAACUCACAGGAGCUACCAGGCCCCCCUGCCCAGCCUGCGAGUGGCAUCAUCUGAAGGGCACCUUCCCUGGACCUGAAUGAGCGAUGGUGUCCUUGAAGCUUGUGUGUGUGUUUUUUUUUGUUUUUUUUUUUAUGUGCGUGUCAUACACAUGGAUUGGCAUCCUUCCCCUUACUGCUGGCAACCCUUCAGCGUGUUAGGGGAAUGGACGGGGGUGCCACUGGAGAAUGAUAAAGUAGUCGCAAAAGACAGGAGCUGUUGCAUCCAUGUCUGCACCACUGGACCAAACCCAGCGUCCGUCCAGCCACAACAGCACUUCUCCACUUAUGGUAUCAAAUGAAUUACAUUUUUGACUCGUCUCUGUUGUCUCCAGCCUACUGACCCUCCAAUUAUGUUACAUUCUUCCAUUAUUAAGUUAAAUGCUCCCCUUUGAUUGAAGAAGAAACUAUUUUUUCUUUAUCUACUCUGUUUUGUCAUUUCAGUGAGUCUGUUGACGCAUAUUGUUUCUUUUAGUAAGCGUAAAUGACUGAGAUACACAUCCCCCUCUUGUCCUUGUUAUUGCUGUUAUGUAACCUUUAUUAUUCACUGCAGUCUCAUGAUUUGAAUUAAAAUUUGGGUUGCCUUCCACCUUGCCUUUUCGUUGUAUUCAAUGUUUUUGUACUGCAGCAUAAAAUCUCAGAGGAUAACAAUGAAUUCAUCCCGCAAACAAGAGUCUAAGCCUUUUAUAUUGUAUUCCUCUUUGCCAUGGUCCUUCCAUUGUUGUCUGUUAAAAACACAGUUAUGAGCCAAGCUGUUGUUCCCUUUAUCACAACGAACACGGCAGCGGUAGCUGAUCAAACCCACCGUGACGUCACCCAUCGUUGAUUGGAUUGCUGUUUCAAAGCUUCCAGUUUGGGCGUUAUGACAUCCACCAUCUUGCUUUUUUGGAUGAGACGCUGGAGCUGUGGAGGACAUGCAUUACUAUACCUCUUUCCUGGAUCUGCCUGUCAGUUAAAAGGCAGCCGCACCCUGAAGUGCAGCCCGCUUUGUCGUAUGUUUUACUCUCAGUGUUGUGCCGCCAGUUUGUCUCACAUUUACAGCCCUGAUGAGACUAUAGUUUGUGGCCUGAAGGGGCCCCUGACCAGCAGUGGCUGACUGCUGUUAGACAAGAGGGCCCGGCUGAGAAGUUUAUGAUUAUGUGUGUGUGUGUGUAAGAGAGAGAGAGUGCUUGUGAAUGAGGCUCUGUGCUCUCCUCCAAACACGUCUUCGCCCAAGGCAGUCAAAUGAACCCUAUCCCAUAAUAGCCAGGGUUCUGCCCCGAGGAGAGGUGACAGCGGGCCAGGCUGGAGUCGUCAUGGCGAUGGCCCGUGUGGAAAGUCGAUACUUGAGACUUGAUUUUAUCCAACAUCUUGGACUUGUUAUUCCUGCAGCGGUUUUCCUGUGCUUCGGCUGCCGCGCUAAGGUGGCCGUGCAUGCAUGGGCAGGGCACUGAAGAUUGUGGCUACGGUGCAGGAACGCUCCUCUUGGCCCUGCCGCUGCACAAACACAGACGGCAGCUAUUCUGGCCACCGUCCACCGACACACACCUCCACACCCAGCCAAAGUCAUCUGGACUGAGACUGCUAUCAAAUAACAGCCUUCUCUCUCCCCCGCUCCCUCCAUCGGUGACUCCUUUGCUGCUGACCACACAGUCGCAGGCAUUUUGGCUCCCAACACUUACUCUACCUACUUCUUUCUUGCGCUCGUAGCUCAAGAAGACAAACAUUAUUUCUUUAUUCAAAACUCACUGAUGCAAGAGUGACGCAAAACGCUCCAACGCUUGGACGGUGCCAGAUACCAAUGCACAAAUGGUAAACAGUGUUGCGUUGGGUUGCGUUCGGCUCCAGCGGUGCAUCCAGACAAAUUGUGUGAAUGUUGAUGUAACUGUAAAAAUACAAAAGGCCUCUUAAACUGACCGGUGUGGACGGGGCUGAGGAAGGAGGGCUUUUGGUUGCAUUAGCAGUCAUGAAUUAAUGCUACAUUUCAGCUCACUUUAAAGGUUCAGAACAAGCCUAGAUUUUCUUCGAUACUUUUUUCCCGUCUGGGCAUUUAAAGGUGAGUCGUUUUUUUUCUUUUUUUUUUUUUUUUUUACUUCAUAAAGACAUUCAUGGACUCUGGGUUUAAAAUACACCCUCCACAAAGUGCCAAGGGUCUGGGAGGAUUUGGCCCAUUUACAGCCCUCUCCUACUCCUCCUACCACUACAUGGCUAUCCAUGCUAUAUCCCCUCCAUCCCUGCAGUCUCUCUUGUCCUUGAUCUGGUUUAAAUAACAGGCACUGCUGCCAUAAUUAUGAUUUUAUCUCAUUUAACAUCGCUGGAUUAAAGUGUUUCAAGGUUGGACAGAUUGGAAAUAAAGAGGGAUUUGAGCGAGAGUUAAUGAAUUAUGCCGACUGGACAUUAGUCUAAAUAAUUGAUUGUCUCUACGAUAUUAAAGCCAUGUGGUGAUUAGCAAUUUAAAUGUCUUGAGGGGGAGUUUUAUUACGUUCUAUAUAGGCUAUGUAAAAAGGAAAAAUAAAACUGCUACUUGUCAGGCCAUGCCUCUGUAAUGUGUGUUCAAAAGGCAUAUUUAUUCCCUCAUUGCUUCAGAUGCAUAAAUUAUGUAGUUGACUUGGUGCGAAACUGUUUUAUUUUUCCGAAACGCAUCCCAGCUGCUGCAACACUGUGAUGCAUGAUCAAAUGAAAUUACAUAAGUUAAGGAACAUGAGAUCCCAACAGUAGUGGCCGAAGCUCCUCUGUACAAAUCGUACACUUUUAAACAAAACAUUUUUAGAUAUAAAUUGUGUGGGUUUCAACUGACCAGUAACAUAAAUUCAUUGUCUACGUAAAUAAUAUAGGAGACGCACAGGUUCUCACUUUGAUAUUGCAUUAAAGACACAGUCUGAAAUGUUAACUAUGUAUGGUGAGAGGUAGUAUGUUUCAGAUGAGAAUAAUUCCUCUAUUAUCUAAAAAAAAAAACCGUCAUUUCAGUCAUCCUCAUUAUAGACAUUACAGUCUCAUUACAUGUUGGACAAAGUAGACUUAUUAAUUUAAUCUGUACAAGUUUGAUUAGUCUACUUGGUAAUUUUGAGGUAAUCUGAGGUAGCCUCAUUUUUUUUAAGUACUUGUGUACUUGUGCUGUAGGACAAACAUGUUAUUUUGAAUGUUUGAAAAGUUCAUGUGUCAGCAGAAAUAAGUUAAAAAAAGGUUAAACGGCCAUGUCAAAAUGCAUUUGUCAAGUGAUAACUAAGAUAAAAAAAAAAAAGUUUCAAUUAUUUAGAGAAGGUUACACAGAUAAAAUUGUAGGCUAAUUGUGUCUUGGGUACUGAAACUCAGUAUGUUCAUGCUUUGAAAUGUGUAAGUGUUGUUUGCACUGUUUCAAAUAGGACUCGAUAUUAAAAAGAAACAGAGCCUCCUGCUGUUUUCCACAUUCUUCUCCCACUCCUAUCCGCCACUGUUUAGGGGAAGAUCUACAACUGAGAAAACUGCAUCUACUAGUGAUGAUCAUGUGUUAUGAUUGAAAGUUCCAGAACAGCUUUUGAAUGGACCUCGUGGUGUGAUUGACUGAAUAUUACUUAAUGUUUUAUGACGCUGUUACAGUUUUUAUUUAAUUGCUACGUUUAAAGGUAAAGGCCUUGCAUCCAACCUCCUACUCUGAAGUAAAAGUGCAUUUCAAGUACAAGCCUAAUCAACAAGAUUAAUUUAAAGUCACAAAAGUCAAAGCAGUACAUCCAGAAAAUGGUGCCUGUAAGUGUGAAAUUAUCACGUGUUGUAUUACAGGUAUUACUAAUUACUGAGGCGGUAGCUUUUUACUGCUGUAUCUGGUUGGGGUGCAGCUAACUGUAGACUGUAGUAUUUUUAUCCUGUGCUGUAUAAAGUUCACAAAUGUAAAAAGAUAAUGUAUGAAAAUGUUACUUUAGUGAAAAAUAAAGUCACCUAUACCAAUAGUACUUUAGUAUAAGACUGUACAAUUUAAUGACAUGUAUGUAAACAAUGCAUAUCAGGUUAAACCCAUUAUUGACCCAGCCAAUUAUUAUACACAAUAUUAAGCAUUUUACUGUUUAUUGGAAUCAGUAUUAUUUUAUUUCUUUUAUCUGACUGCUGAUAAGCUAAAUUAAAUUUGAAAAAAACAAAAAAACAAAACAUCCUACCUUGUGUUGAGUUUUUUUUAAAUAAUACGUUUAUGAUGUUUAUAUAUGUAAAAUCUUUAUACAAUAACUGGCUGCUAAAUGGAUGUAGAAGUAAAACAUUUCCUCUGAAAUGAAGCAGUGACAAUGGAUAAAUUAGCAUGAAAGCAAAGGACUCAAGUGCCUUAUAUCUAUUCAUCUCUAUCCAUCAAACUCCUCAAAUAAAUGUGUGGAUUUAACU